UACGUAGGGGGCAAGCGUUAUCCGGAUUUACUGGGUGUAAAGGGAGCGUAGACGGAGGAGCAAGUCUGAUGUGAAAAUCCGGGGCCCAACCCCGGAACUGCAUUGGAAACUGUUUAUCUGGAGUGUCGGAGAGGCAAGUGGAAUUCCUAGUGUAGCGGUGAAAUGCGUAGAUAUUAGGAGGAACACCAGUGGCGAAGGCGGCUUGCUGGACGAUGACUGACGUUGAGGCUCGAAAGCGUGGGGAGCAAACA
rnacentral:rRNA from 1 species